UCAGCUUAUUAUUUUGAUACUCUUUAGAAAAAAUAAAUAAAUAAAAAUAAUGAUUUGCAAAGGUUUGGAAGCUUCACGGCUAUCACUACCACGCAACGCCACGUAGACGCGCAACAAAACUUUCGGAGUAGAUGGCGUGACCGCGCUUUUCCGAAGCGCAGAUGGCGUGACUGCAGUAAAUAAUUUGGCGGUUAAUCCUCAGGAGAUUUCAGCGGGCACAGUUCUCAAGAGGAAUACUACUUAAGCUGCAAAAAGAAAUUCUGAGCUGUUGCAUGAACAUUCAUCAAACAUAUAAGGCUGCAAUUUGGAAAAAAACUUUCAAGCUAAUGCUGCUGAAAUGGAGGUCAAGGGGACUGAAGAGGUGGCUCCAGCUGAAGGGUGGACUUCAGGAGGCAGACACACUCUGUUACAGUAAUCAGCUGAUCCAUUCGGUAUCCAGACCAGACGGUGGACCUGCACCCAGGAGCGACCACAACACAUCCCUGACUGUCAGCGGAGACCAUGUCAGCUAGAUGACAGAUCUCUGUGAAGACCUCAUUGAUGGCCCCAGCACAGAUCCUCAGCAAAGACUACGAGAACCAGACAAGCCCUCUGCACAGACCCUUUUUACCAGCUUCACCUGUUGGCGUGAUAUUACUUCAUGCAGAAGAAGUUGGAUGAAAUAUUCUGAAUGAUAUCAAUCCACAAUCUGACUUGUGAUGCAGCCUGGAAUAAUCACACCACGUUCAUUCGUUUGGCCAGACGAGACUGGUUUCCUGACUGAGCCGGGUCUUGUUUGGGUUUGGGUUCCUUGUCACUGUUGCCUUUUGUCUUGCUUGGUUGAAGACACCUAAUAUUCAGCAAUAUUAUUGACUUGACUGCACUGACACCAUGUGAUAAGAACUGAACUGAAUUAUGACACACAAUGUUUUAUAUAUGAAGAGUUUAUUUACAAAAACAGAUAACUCCAUUUUUAAAUAUUUUUAAAAAUCAUGUUUUUUGUUAUGUUUUUGUUUCGUGUUAGUUAGCUAGUAUUUAUUAGUUAUUCUUUACCUAAUCAAAAUAA